GGUGGAGCGAUCUGUCUGGUUAAUUCCGAUAACGAACGAGACUCUCCCCUGCUAACUAGUCGGUUGGAUCUUACCCCAGUGGGUUUGUGUUGAGGCCUGUGGUGUGGGUGCGCCGCCGAGCGUGGGGUGCCUGGUGUGUGUGGGCGGAUCGGCUUUCGGGUCGGUUUUUCUCGCGUGCGCCGGCCUCUGCGUACUUGGUGUGUGUGCUCCCCCUGGUCUUCCUGCCCCAAGUCCGCCGUCUAUUCAAUAUCUUCUUAGAGGGAUCCACGGCUCUGAAGCCGUCAGAGACUGAGAGCAAUAACAGGUCUGUGAUGCCCUUAGAUGCUCUGGGCCGCACGCGCGCUACAAUGCCGGGCUCAGCAGGUGUCUUCCCUGUCUCGAGAGAGACGGGUAACCCUCUGAAAGCCCCUGCUUGUCUAUGAUGCGUUGGCGCCCUUCACGGGGUAGGCCUUCCUUCACGGGAGGGUCGUGCCUUCGCCUAGGCGUGCUUGGGCCUGGGGCUUGCAAUUGUUCCCCACAAACGAGGAAUGCCUAGUAGCGGUGGGUCACUGAGCCCACCGUGACUUAGUCCCUGCCCUUUGUACACACCGCCCGUCGCUACUACCGAUUGGGUGUACCAGUGAGAGCCUUGGACUGGCGGUCAGCUUCCCGUCCCCGGGAGGCAUGACACGACUGAAAGAGGUACGAACUGGUGCACUUAGAGGAAGUAAAAGUCGUAACAAGGUUUCCGUAGGUGAACCUGCGGAAGGAUCAUUA
rnacentral:rRNA from 1 species